rnacentral:rRNA from 1 species
UACGAAGGGGGCUAGCGUUGCUCGGCAUUACUGGGCGUAAAGCGCACGUCGGCGGCUUCUUAAGUCGGUGGUGAAAUCCUGGAGCUCAACUCCAGAACUGCCUUCGAUACUGGGAAGCUCGAGUCCGGGAGAGGUGAGUGGAACUGCGAGUGUAGAGGUGAAAUUCGUAGAUAUUCGCAAGAACACCAGUGGCGAAGGCGGCUCACUGGCCCGGUACUGACGCUGAGGUGCGAAAGCGUGGGGAGCAAACAGG